UCGAGACUGAAGCUCGUGUUCUUUCUUGAUCUUCCGGACAUUUUAUUUACAGCAUUCCACCACUUUCGACAAUCAUCUUUACGAGGAUGCUGAAUCUUAUCUUUAUAAAACAUUUCUUUCCUCUGUUUAAUUUCUGAUUGCACUUUGCACUUCAAUAGUUGCCAUUGUUGCUUAUCACCUCUAUGGAAGGCUUUUUGACGAUCUUUAAUAAGUUGCUUGAUUGAAGGGGUUAUCCAAGGUUUGUCGGUGUGAUGUAAUUUCACUGUCUUUAGUGGGAAGAUGUUAUUAAGAGCAUUGUUCACUUGUGAUGGAAAGGAGGUAACCAAUUCAUCCAUCCCUGGAUUAUCGUUGAGUUCGUCAUAUCAAUUUUUUGAGCAAGCCCAACGUCCGAAAACCUCAAUUCCAGACAGAGGAUAACGUCUCACAAAGUGCUCUAUAGGCUUAGGUUUGGGGGCCAGAGUAUUUAUGGUAUCCUUAGUAAGAGGAAGCCCAUGAACUAUGUUAUGAUUCGAAGUGCUAAGCGGAGCCAGUUUAAUACGGCUUCUCGUACAAGUUAUGCAAAUUGGUUGCAAUAAGAGACCGCUCAUUAUUUAUUGUACAGGGGGGAUUGAGGAGAAACUGGGGGGGGGCCUUUAAAAUUUUUAAAACCUGAAAGAGAUGGGCUUUGAAAAAAUACAGAGAGACGAAAGAAGGGGGGCUUCGAAAAUAUUCACCAGUUUGAAAAAACAUUAGUAGUUUUAAAAAUGUAUCACAAAACAACUUAACAAAUAACAAUGUUUAUAGAUCUUCAAUAUUCAUAAAUGGAAGCCAAAUAAAAAGUUUCUUAUGUUCAUGUAAAUAGGCAAUCCCCAUUAUAGACUAAUUUUAGAACAAGGCAAAGAGAUGCAAAUUAAGGCCGGAUUUUGGUGAAAAUAGUGGGGAGGUGGAAAAAAAUUUUAGGGGAGGUGCAGCGGUUUAGCUCACAACUCCCAUGGAAAGUUAGGGCUUAUUGUAGAACAGGCCAAUAUCAACGAGGUAAGGUAUGCAUGUAGUGUACAUAUGUACCAGUGUAUUAAUGAAUUAUGAAUGUAUAUGACUCCAAUCUUGCCCUUCAUUACAAUUGCUCCAAAGUUUCUAUCAAAAAAAUUGCAUUAAAAGGGUACUUGACACGGGUAUGAAUGGCUAUCACUGUUUCAAUUUUACAGAGAAAACUUUCUUACGUCACGA